rnacentral:rRNA from 1 species
GAUGAACGCUGGCGGCGUGCCUAAUACAUGCAAGUCGAGCGAACAGACGAGUACCUUGCUCCUCUGACGUUAACGGCGUACGUGUGAGGAACACAUUGAUAACCUACCUUUAAGACUGUGAUAACUUCGGGAAACCGGUGCUAAUUCCGGCUAAUAUAUUCAACCGCAUGGUUCAAUAGUGUAAGACCGUUGUGCUUUCACUUGUACAUUCAUCCGCGCCGCAUUAGCUUGUUGGUAAGUUAACGUCUUACCAAGCCGACGAUGCGUAGCCGACGUUAGAGGGUGAUCGGCCACACGAGAACGGAGCCACGGACAAGACUACUAAGGGAGGCAGCAGUAGGGAAUGUUACGCAAUGGGCGAAAGUAUGACGGAGCAACGGCGCGUGAGUGAUGACGGUGUUGCGAUCGUAAAACUCUGUUAUUAGGGAAGAACCAAUGUGUAAGUCACUAUGCACGAAUUGACGGUACCUACACAGAAAGCAACGGCUAACUACGUG